GCCGGGGUAGCUCAGUCCGGUAGAGCAACGCACUCGUAAUGCGUAGGUCGUGGGUUCAAAUCCCGUCCCCGGCU
rnacentral:tRNA from 1 species